UACAGAGGCUCCAAGCAUUAUCCGGAAUUAUUGGGCGUAAAGGGUGCGUAGGUGGUUAUAUUAGUCCCCCGUCAAAGCUUCCGGCUUAACCGGAAAUCUGCGAGGGAAACGGUAUAACUUGAGAGUGCGAGAGGUAUGUGGAACUCAUGGAGUAGGGGUGAAAUCCGUUGAUAUCAUGGGGAACACCAAAAGCGAAGGCAACAUACUGGCGCAUUUCUGACACUGAGGCACGAAAGCCAGGGUAGCGAACGGG
rnacentral:misc_RNA from 1 species